rnacentral:rRNA from 1 species
GUGCCAGCCGCCGCGGUAAUACGGAGGGUGCAAGCGUUAUCCGGAUUCACUGGGUUUAAAGGGUGCGUAGGCGGAUUUGUAAGUCCGUGGUGAAAUCUCCAGGCUUAACCUGGAAACUGCCAUGGAUACUAUAAGUCUUGAAUAUUGUGGAGGUUAGCGGAAUAUGUCAUGUAGCGGUGAAAUGCAUAGAUAUGACAUAGAACACCAAUUGCGAAGGCAGCUGGCUACACAAAUAUUGACGCUGAGGCACGAAAGCGUGGGGAUCAAACAGGAUUAGAUACCCCAGUAGUCC